rnacentral:rRNA from 1 species
GUAGUUAGCCGGAGCUUCCUCCUCUGCUACCAUCAUUAUUUUCACAGAGGACAGAGGUUUACAAUCCGAAAACCUUCUUCCCUCACGCGGCGUUGCUGGGUCAGGCUUUCGCCCAUUGCCCAAUAUUCCCCACUGCUGCCUCCCGUAGGAGUCUGGACCGUGUCUCAGUUCCAGUGUGGCCGAUCAGCCUCUCAGCUCGGCUACCCAUCGCGGACUUGGUGGGCCGUUACCCCGCCAACUAUCUAAUGGGACGCGAGCCCCUCCCUCUGCGGAUUGCUCCUUUGACCUCAGAGCGAUGCCACUCCGUGGUCUUAUGCGGUAUUAGUGCAACUUUCGCUGCGUUAUCCCCCUGUAAGGGACAGGUUGCUCACGCGUUACUCACCCGUCCGCCGCUAGAACAUACUUCGUAUUGCUACUCAACAUGUCCCCGCUCGACUUGCAUGUGUUAGGCACGCCGCCAGCGUUCGUCCUGAGCCAGAUCAAACUCUGA